UACAGAGGUCUCAAGCGUUGUUCGGAUUCAUUGGGCGUAAAGGGUGCGUAGGUGGCGCUGUAAGUCGGGUGUGAAAUUUCAGAGCUUAACUCCGAAACUGCAUUCAAUACUGCGGUGCUUGAGGACUGGAGAGGAGACUGGAAUUCAUGGUGUAGCAGUGAAAUGCGUAGAGAUCAUGAGGAAGACCAGUGGCGAAGGCGGGUCUCUGGACAGUUCCUGACACUGAGGCACGAAGGCCAGGGGAGCAAACGGG
rnacentral:rRNA from 1 species